CGUAGGGUGCAAGCGUUAAUCGGAAUUACUGGGCGUAAAGCGUGCGCAGGCGGUUUUGUAAGUCUGUCGUGAAAUCCCCGGGCUCAACCUGGGAAUUGCGAUGGAGACUGCAAGGCUAGAAUCUGGCAGAGGGGGGUAGAAUUCCACGUGUAGCAGUGAAAUGCGUAGAGAUGUGGAGGAACACCGAUGGCGAAGGCAGCCCCCUGGGUCAAGAUUGACGCUCAUGCACGAAAGCGUGGGGAGCAAACAGGAUUAGAUACCCUGGUAGUCCACGCCCUAAACGAUGUCUACUAGUUGUCGGGUUUUAAUUAACUUGGUAACGCAGCUAACGCGUGAAGUAGACCGCCUGGGGAGUACGGUCGCAAGAUUA
rnacentral:rRNA from 1 species